CCGUAGUAAGCGCAAUAUUUUUUUGCAAACUUUCUCCUACAAUUACCGAAGCACGUUUAUUACAUAAAAAAGAGAGCGAAAUUAUCAUUGCUAAUUUGAUAUUGUAUUCUUUGUAAGUAAGUUUAUUGUUUCUUUGUCAUUAUAAACGCAAAUAGCGUUCAGCAUCAUCGAUCUUUCACGUGACCUCUGGCCUCGAUUUAAAAUUUUUACCGGUAUUUUCGAGUGCAUGGCGGCACGGAUUCAUUCGUUCGUGCGCUCAGACCGGUUGUUUCUUUUUCGCUAAAACUAGUUUAUUGCGCUUCGAUGUCACGCGUUAUUUAACCUGGGGUGAAGUGACGUGUUUGCAAGUGGACAUGUAAGCCCGAAAGUUGGGUAUCGGUCGUGAGCCAUUCGGAACACGUCUGCAUCGAAACGGGAGCUGGAUUCUGGUGCGGCUGAAAACGGCAAUAACGACAUGCAGUAAUGAGGAUGGCACCAGUAUAAAGCAACACACUCCACACACUAAACAGAAGCUGCUGCCUGCUACAACAAGGCCAUUGUGUGGACAUUGGCUGCUACUACAAGAGUCCAUGCCAAGCAUACCUUGGUCAUCACAGGAGCUCCUAUCCACACCAACAGAAAGGGGCUGGAGCUGAAUUUGCAAGGCUUUUACACCACGAACAAAGAAGCGCAUGCAGAAGAAUUUACAUGAGAUAUCAAGUCUGCAGAGCACUGUGUCAAGACUGAAAAGAGCUUCAGCCACCAUUCCACCAGCGCGGACAAAUUGGCUGAGUCAUCCAGGUAACUCAAAAAGGACUUUAUGGAAAUUCUUCGUCUCCAGAUGCGCCUGCAACUUCUGAUCAAGCACGGACGACGCUGGCCAAAAGAGUUCCAUCAGUUUGCCCUUAAUCAGCUUCCUGGCCAUGUCAAUUCCAUUUGUGCCAAGUGUAAUUUUUCUUCUAUAAAUGCAAGCUUUUUCAUUCUCCAUUCUCGUUAGAGAUCAUUCAUCCUCAUCAUCAUCAUCAUCAUCAGCCUGGUUACGCCCACUGCAGGGCAAAGGCCUCUCCCAUACUUCUCCAACUGCCCCGGUCAUGUACUAAUUGUGGCCAUGUUGACCCUCCAAACUUCCUAAUCUCAUCUGCCCACCUAACUUUCUGUCGCCCCCUGCUACGCUUCCCUUCCCUCGGAAUCCAGUCCGUAACCCUUAAUGACCAUCGGUUAUCUUCCCUCCUCAUUACAUGUCCUGCCCAUGCCCAUUUCUUUUUCUUGAUUUCAACUAAGAUGUCAUUAACGCGCGUUUGUUCCCUCACCCAAUCUGCUCUUUUCUUAUCCCUUAAUGUUACACCUAUCAUUCUUCUUUCCAUAGCUCGUUGCGUCGUCCUCAAUUUAAGUAGAACCCUUUUCGUAAGCCUCCAGGUUUCUGCCUCGUACGUGAGUACUGGUAAGACACAGCUGUUAUAAACUUUUCUCUUGAGGGAUAAUGGCAACCUGCUGUUCAUGAUCUCUGAAUGCCUGCCAAACGCACCCCAGCCCAUUCUUAUUCUUCUGAUUAUUUCACUCUCAUGAUCCGGAUCAGCAGUCACUACCUGUCCUAAGUAGAUGUAUUCCCUUACCACUUCCAGUGCCUCGCUACCUAUCUUAAACUUCCUUCCUUAAACUUCAUUCAUCCUCAUCCAAACAUAAAGGUCAACCAAUUCUUCGCUGAUACUUAAUACCAGUCACUGUCUAGUAGCAUAACAUAUCUGUAGCAGUACCUUUUAGUGCAUGUUGUCAUGCACGAUUCCUCUCCUGAAAUAGCUGAUGCAACAUCGACAUGUUUCUUGCAUUAACCUACGCACUGUUUGCAAUGGACCAUUUUACUUUUCUUGAUGUUUUUGGCCUUCAAUGCUUGCAGAGCAGGGUGGCUUCUCUCUUGAAUGCAAGCUUUCUCAUUUUCCAUAUUCCUAGUCUCGUUGAUGGUUGCUCUUCUUCCUCGAUAGCCUGGGUCUUUGCGCAAGCUACACUGAAUGAUAGAUUGCAGAAUCUUGUUUUGCUGCCCCACUUGGUUGUGGUCACCGUGUUACAUUUCUCGGAUGUGGGGGCCUGCUCAGUUACAUUGGUAAGCAGUCUCUCGAGGUAAGCAUUUGCUCCUGCAGUCCGCACAGCGACAUAGACUCCCAGUGUACACACACCAUAACUGGUGCUCCCCGUUCAUUUUUUCCUGCUGCAGCCAUGGGCAAAUUGUGCUUGUGGCCUACCUCGGCCAUGAUUUGCUCAAAACUGAGACCAGCAUAUGUGCUUACAUGGUUCGAAGUGUAUGAAGUUGAUAGCCGUACGGGGGGAAAUGCCUGCAAAAAUGGCUGCCAAAGGUGAUGCCCACGAAAGCGACUUGUCCAUAUUGAGACAAAGUGGGACACCAAAUGUGAGCCACACAUUAGUGGCCCUCGACAGAAAAGAAGCAUGCAGGUUGGAAAGGAGUUAAUGCUAAAAUGUCGGAUAGUCCAUUUCGCUGUGUUGGUUGCGACAGCAGAUGCCUGCGUCACCCGAUUGCUUCGCAAUGGAAGUUGCUCAUCUUCAACGGCUACUGUCGUUUCAAACAGGUGCGACGCUCUGUCCAAUCUGUUUGUACUGCUGUUUGUCACUCGUUACCAGACCACCACAUGUGACGAAGGAAAGCAUUAUGCCUGUAAGUAGGCGGCUGAAUGUAUCCUAAGAGACCCGUGUAUGUGAAUGCUCACUGUUGCCAUAUGGUUUGUAGCCAAUGUAUAAUGUAUUCUCUGAACACUAUGUUGUGAAUGAUUGCUGUUUAUUUUUGCUGUUCUCACUUGGUUACGGUCACCGUAUUAUGCUUAUCGGAUGUGGGGGCCUGGUCAGUUGCAUUGGAAAACAGUCUCUCGAGGUAAGCAUUUGCUCCUGCAGUCCGCACAGCGGCAUAGACUCCCAAUUUACACACCAUGAUUCGUGCUCCCCGUUCAGCCUUUCCUGCUGCAGCCAUGUGCAAAUUGUGCCUGCGGCCUUUCUCACUCGCAAUUAAGCACGAACGGAGACAAGCAUACGUGCUUACAUGGUCCAACGUGUUUUAAGUUCAUAGCCACAUGGGUGGAAAGGCCCGCAUAAAUGGCUGCCGAAGGUGAUGCCCACGAAAGCGACUUGUCCAUAUGGAGACAAAGUGGGACGCCAAAUGUGAGCCACACAUUAGUGGCCCUCGACAGAAAAGAAACAUGCAGGUUGGAAAGGAGUUAACGCUAAAAUGCCGGAUAGUCCAUUUCGCUGUGUUGGUUGUGGCAGCAGAUGCCUGCAUCACCUGAUUUCUUCGCAAUGGAAGUUGCUCAUCUUCAACGGCAAUUGUCGGUUCAAACAGGUGCGACGCUCUGUCCAAUCUGUUUGUACUGCUGUUUGUCGCUCGUUACCAGACCACCACAUGCGACGAAGGCAAGCAUUAUGCCUGUAAGUAGGCGGCUGAAUGUAUCCUAAGAGACCCGUGUAUGUGAAUGCUCACUGUUGCCAUAUGGUUUGUAGCCAAUGUAUAACGUAUUCUCUGAACACUAUGUGGUGAAUGAUUGCCGUUUAUUUUUGCUGUUAUCUCACUUGGUUACGGUCGCCGUGUUAUGCUUAUCGGAUGUGGCGGCCUGGUCAGUUGCACUGAAAAGCAGUUUCUCGAAGUAAGCAUUUGCUCCUGCAAUCUGCACAGCGACAUAGACUCCCAAUUUACACACCGCGAUAUGUGCUCCCCGUUCACGUUCAGCCUUUCCUGCUGCAGCCAUGGGCAAAUUGUGCCUGUUGCCUUUCUCGGCCGCGAUUAAGCACGAACGGAGACCGGCAUACGUGCUUGCAUGGUCCGACGUGUGUGAAGUUGGGUGCAAAGGCCCGCAAAAGUGGCUGAUGAAGGUGAUGCCCACGAAAGCGACUUGUCCAUAUUGAGACAAUGUGGGACACCAAGUGCGAGCCACACAUUAGCGGCCUCCGAAAGAAAAGUAACGUGCAGGUUGGAAAGGAGUUCAGGCUAAAAUGCCGGGUAGUCCAUGUCGCUGUGUUGGCUGCGGCAGCAGAUGCCUGGUUCACCCGAUUGUUUCGCAGUGCAAGUUGCUCAUCUUUAACGGCGACUGCCGCUGCAAACAGGCGGGACACUGACCAAUCUGCAUAAGCCGCUGGUUGUCGCUCGUUACUAGACCGCCAUGUGUGACGACGACGGUGAGCCGUUUACGAGCUCGCGUCGAAGAUUCCAGUGUAUCUCGACAUACAAAUUUUAUUUCUGCUAUUGCACGAGAAUGUACAUACACUGCUUGUCUUCUGCCAAUAAAGUCGCACGUUCUGUUCA